AUUAAUAUUAUAUUAUAAUUUGAUUAUUUGAUUAAAAAAGUAUUUUUGUUAAAAAAUUGAACCAAUAGUGAGAUGAGAAUUAUCAUGAUGAAUUGUAUAGAGUAUCUCGGAGUUUCUCAAGUGAGAAACUUUGUACACUCUCUCUCCUUCAUUUUUUUUAUUU
rnacentral:sRNA from 1 species